GGGGAAUAUUGCACAAUGGGGGAAACCCUGAUGCAGCGACGCCGCGUGAGGGAUGACGGCCUUCGGGUUGUAAACCUCUUUCAGUAGGGAAGAAGCGUAAGUGACGGUACCUGCAGAAGAAGCGCCGGCUAACUACGUGCCAGCAGCCGCGGUAAUACGUAGGGCGCAAGCGUUGUCCGGAAUUAUUGGGCAUAAAGAGCUCGUAGGUGGUUUGUCGCGUCUGGUGUGAAAUCUCACGGCUCAACCGUGAGCUUGCAUUGGGUACGGGCAGACUAGAGUGCGGUAGGGGAGACUGGAAUUCCUGGUGUAGCGGUGGAAUGCGCCGAUAUCAGGAGGAACACCGAUGGCGAAGGCAGGUCUCUGGGCCGCUACUGACGCUGAGGAGCGAAAGCAUGGGGAGCGAAC
rnacentral:rRNA from 1 species